GCGAUACGACAUGUAGUGAUGAUGAGGAUAAAGCUGCAGCUGUAAGUGUAACGGUUAGCUUACUUUUAUCCUGCGUUUCCAAAUAUAUCAGCUGUUCGCAUCCUUAUGACAACACAGUACAUGUACCGGUUGACGAGGAAGUUAAGUUUAUGGAGCUGCAGGAUGUUAGUUUAUAAGUAAAAUAUUUAUAGAGUGAUCUAAUCGAACUUUACUUUGGUCAACGUGUGUGUGUUGUAAUUUCUCGUAUGGUGAGCAAGUUAUCUCAUGAUAGCGUCAUUUAUUACCGCUCCAUCACGCUGGUGUCCAUUUCAUAAUUUCCAUCUCUGGCAAGAACGUGGACCAGAUCUUUGUGAUUUUGAAUAUAAAUUGCAUUUUUUGUGCAUACAAUUUUGGAUUUUUUAAAUUAAAGGGACUGGUUCACGUUUUUGUUAGCCUUAACUCUGUGUUAUGCAAACAAAGAAUCAAGUCUUUUUUAUGUUUACAAACAAACGAUGAGUUGGCAACUAUGGCUUUGGUGAGCCUGCAGUAGAUUCUAGUAAUACAUCUAGUCCUGUCUAAUCAAUUUAAUGAUACCUGUAGUUAUCUGUUUGUCUAUUAGAUCCACAUUUUUAAAAACAGAAGAAAAAAAAAGUUCCUUGUUCUCUUUAUAAAAUAUUUUAAAUUAUGAGACCUUAUGAUAAAAAAUGUACAUAUGUGAGUCAGACAUAAAGCUGAAUCAGUAAAUAAUCAUUUCACAUGCACUGACACACAUAACUUUUGUAACAAAAAUAUAUGCUACAAUGGUUACACAUUCACAUUGCUAGAUGUCAGUAACACUUUUAAAAUAACAGAAGGCUUUUAAAAGGCACCGUUAAAAAAUACUGGCAAUAAAGAUUAUAUAAAUUAUGUCAUUCUGUGAUUUUGUUCAUAGUCAUUACAAACAUUUUCUGUACCCACAAUUUUAGUAAUGACUUGUUAGGUAUCGAUACAGUUGUAACCUAUAACAUUGAUUAACAUGCACAAUGAAGUAUACUUAUCAGCCGAUCUAUCACAUUUUAAAUCCAUUAUUCUCUGAAUGAAAUACAUUGUAUUGUAAAUCUGGUUAUUGUUGUUCUAGAUAGAUUUUUAGCUAUUGAACAUGUUGAAUGUGCAAAGUUUUUGUUGU